AGGGCGUAUGGUGGAUGCCUUGGCAGACAGGACCGAUGAAGGACGUUUGAGGCUGCGAUAUGCCUCGGGGAGCCGCCAACAGGGCUUUGAUCCGAGGAUUUCCGAAUGGGGGAACCCACCGGCCGUCAUGGGCCGGUACCGCCGUGUGCGGGGGGUACGCAGGGAAGUGAAACAUCUCAGUACCUGCAGGAAAGGAUAUUCCGUGAGUAGUGGCGAGCGAAAGCGGAUCAGGCCAAACCUUGCGCGUGUGAUACCCGUCGGGGGUUGCGCGCGGGGUGUAGAGGGAUCGCGUUUGCCGGCUCCGACGGGCCGGCCGUCAGUUGCAUAAAACCAUGUGCCAGGGGAACCGGGUUGAAUACCGGGCCGCAGAGGGUGAGGGCCCCGUACCCGAACGCGCAUGGUCUGGCGAUCGCGUCUCCCAAGUAGCACGGGCCCCGUGGAAUCCCGUGCGAAUCUGUCCCGACCGUGGGAUAAGCCUAAAUAUUCCUGUCUGACCGAUAGCGAACGAGUACCGUGAGGGAAAGGUGAAAAGUACCCCGGGAGGGGAGUGAAACAGUCUCUGAAACCAUGCGCCUACGAACCGUCGGGGCCCCCUUGUGGGGUGACGGCGUGCCUAUCGAAAAAUGAGUCUGCGAGUCAGUGGCAUGUGGCGAGCAUAANCCGUGUGGCGUAUGCGUAGCGAAGGCGAGUCUUAAAAGGCGUUUGAGUCGCGUGUCCUGGACCCGAAGCGGGAUGAUCUAGCCCUGAGCAGGUUGAAGCGCGGGUAAGACCGUGUGGAGGACCGAACCCACCUGGGUUGAAAACCGGGGGGAUGACUUGGGGCUAGGGGUGAAAGGCCAAUCAAAUUCCGUGAUAGCUGGUUCUCUCCGAAAUGCAUUUAGGUGCAGCGUCGGAUCGAUUACAUCCGGGGGGUAGAGCGACUGGAUGCUUGCGGGCCCAUAUCGGGUACCAACAGCAACCAAACUCCGAAUACCCGUGAUGCGUAUCCCGGCAGUGAGUCGGCGGGGGAUAAGCUCCGUCGUCGAAAGGGAAACAGCCCAGAUCGUCGUCUAAGGUCCCCAAGCGUGUGCUAAGUGGGAAAGGAUGUGGAGUCGCAUAGACAGCCAGGAGGUUGGCUCAGAAGCAGCCACCCUUGAAAGAGUGCGUAACAGCUCACUGGUCUAGUGGUUCCGCGCCGACAAUGUAGCGGGGCUCAAGCACACCACCGAAGACGCGGCAGUAGCUUUGCUACUGGGUAGGAGAGCGUCCCAUGCGGGGCGAAGCGGCGGCGCAAGCCCGCCGUGGACUGCAUGGGAGUGAGAAUGCAGACAUGAGUAGCGAAAGACGGGUGAAGAUCCCGUCCGCUGGACGACCAAGGGUUCCAGGGCCACGUUCAUCGUCCCUGGGUGAGUCGGGUCCUAAGGCGAGGCCGACAGGCGUAGUCGAAUGGAUGAACGGGUCGAUAUUCCCGUACCGGCAUGCAACCGACAAAACCGAAUCCGCGAGUACUAACCUCCGGGUCCGGGCUUACGUCUCCUUCGGGAGCCGGAUGCCCUGGCCUGUUGGGACCGUAACGGUAGUAGGUCAGCGCGGGAGUGACGCAGAAGGGUAGCCGGCCGCGGAGGUGGUCUUCCGUGGUCAAGCACGCAGCCCGUCCCACAGGCAAAUCCGUGGGGCGCGUGGGCGAGGUGCGAUGAUGGGCGCCGCAGGGCGCGAUAUCCGGUGAUCCCGGCUGCCGAGAAAAGCUUCGGCGUGAGGCGGCGUGCCGCCCGUACCCCAAACCGACACUGGUGGUCAGGUAGAGAAUACCAAAGCGAUCGAGCGAAUCCUGGUCAAGGAACUCGGCAAAUCACUCCCGUUCCUUCGGUUUAAGGGAGACCCCCGAUGGUGAAGCGGCUUGCCCGUGGAGCUUUUGGGGGUGGCACAGACCAGGGGGUAGCGACUGUUUACCAAAAACACAGGAGCGUGCGAAGGCGCAAGCCGCUGUAUACGCUCUGACGCCUGCCCGGUGCCGGAAGGUUAAGAGGAUCCGUCAGGCUUCGGCCGAAGCGGUGAAUUCAAGCCCCGGUAAACGGCGGUGGUAACUAUAACCAUCCUAAGGUAGCGAAAUUCCUUGUCGGGUAAGUUCCGACCUGCACGAAUGGCGUAACGACUUCCCCACUGUCUCGACCAGGAGCUCGGCGAAAUUGCAGUACGAGUAAAGAUGCUCGUUAAGCGCAGAAGGACGAAAAGACCCCGGGACCUUUACUAUACCUUGGUAUUGGCAUUCGGUGUGGAUUGUGUAGCAUAGGCGGAAGGCUUCGAAGCCACGGCGCCAGCCGCGGUGGAGCCGCAAGGUGAAAUACCGCUCUGUUCGCAUUGGAUGUCUAACCUCGACCAGUCAUCCUGGU
rnacentral:rRNA from 1 species